rnacentral:rRNA from 1 species
UACGGAGGGUCCAAGCGUUAUCCGGAAUCAUUGGGUUUAAAGGGUGCGUAGGCGGAUUAGUAAGUCAGUGGUGAAAGCCCAUCGCUUAACGGUGGAAUUGCCAUUGAUACUGCUAGUCUUGAGUAUGGUUGAGGUGGGCGGAAUGUGUCAUGUAGCGGUGAAAUGCUUAGAUAUGACCCAGAACACCAAUUGCGAAGGCAGCUCGCUAAACCAUAACUGACGCUGAUGCACGAAAGCGUGGGGAGCAAACAGG